rnacentral:misc_RNA from 1 species
GAAAUGCGAUAAGUAGUGUGAAUUGCAGAAUUCAGUGAAUCAUCGAAUCUUUGAACGCACAUUGCGCCCCUUGGUAUUCCAUGGGGCAUGCCUGUUCGAGCUUCAUUUGUACCCUCAAGCUCUGCUUGGUGUUGGGUGUUUGUCCCGUCUCCGCGCGUGGACUCGCCCCAAAGUGAUUGGCAGCCGGCGUACUGGUCCCGGAGCGCAGCACAUGUCGCGCAAACGAGUGCCUUGGUACGGCGGCGUCCAUAAGCCCCUCUCUCACGCUCUUGACCUCGGAUCAGGUAGGGAUACCCGCUGAACUUAAGC